AUCUGGCUGUGACAUCUGUCAUCCCAUUGGUCACCAGGAUUUAUUCAGUUGAUCCAAUUGGCUAGGCAGGUGUCUUUUU
rnacentral:snRNA from 1 species